rnacentral:rRNA from 1 species
GUUAGGAAUAUUGGACAAUGGGCGAAAGCCUGAUCCAGCCAUGCCGCGUGAACGAUGAAGGCCUUCGGGUUGUAAAGUUCUUUAGCCGAUGAUUAUAAUGACUGUAGUCGGAAAAUAAGCCCCGGCUAACUUCGUGCCAGCAGCCGCGGUAAUACGAAGGGGGCGAGCGUUAUUCGGAAUCACUGGGCGUAAAGCGUGCGUAGGCGGUUUUGUAAGUUAGGAGUGAAAGCCCAGGGCUCAACCUUGGAAUUGCUCUUAAAACUGCAAGGCUCGAAUCUCGGAGAGGAUAGCGGAAUUUCCAGUGUAGCAGUGAAAUGCGUAGAGAUCAGAAGGAACAUCCGUGGCGAAGGCGGCAUCCUGGGCCAACACUGACACUGAGGCACGAAAGCGUGGGGAGCAAACAGGAUUAGAUACCCUAGUAGUCC